CAGUGUCGCUCGGGUCUCCAACCUCGGCACCGCAUGGCUUCCCCUGUCCUGCCUUCAGCUGUGACUCCGAAAGGCGGGGAAAGGAGGCCCCAUGGCUGGGCUGCACUUUAGCUCUGUGGCCCGGACGCAAGGGCGUGAUAAAGAGUGGUGGAGGAACUAGGAGAGGGGAAUGCGGGUCCCCUGCCGGAAGCAGCCCCGCCCCUCAGGCCAAGAGUAAUUAACAGGAUUGGGGAAUGGUUAUCGCCAAGGGAAACUUGAUGCAUAGUGGUGAUAACAGAAAUAGCUGACUUGCUUAUGAAGAUAAUCCUAUUUUUUAAAAUACAUAGAAUUUUUUGAAUCCUGUCUAGGACACCGCAUUACUCUUAGGCAUCAUGUUUCCUUGGGCUCUGCUUGAUUGUGACAGUGUCUCCGACUUUCCUUGCUUGAAUCGCCUUGACGGAUUUGAGGAGUAGUGGUCAGGCAGAAUGCUGGUCUUGAACUUUUCUGGGCUCCAGGAAUCCUCUUGCCUCAGCCUCUUGAGUCACUGUGACUGGUCUCACUAAGUUGCUUAGGCCUCACUCAAUUGAUGAGUCUGCUCUCGAAUUUUCAAUCCUCCUGCCUCAGCCUCCUGAGUCUCUGGAAUUACAAGUGUGCCCCUCUGCACCCAGCAUGUUCUUUGAUUUCAUUGCUGGGUAUUAAAGGGUCUUGAUUGUGGAACCAACCUAGAUGCCCCUCAGUAGAAG